rnacentral:rRNA from 1 species
ACAUUGGCGGCGGGGCCUACACAUGCAAGUCGAGCGGUAGCACAGAGAGCUUGCUCUCGGGUGACGAGCGGCGGACGGGUGAGUAAUGUCUGGGAAACUGCCUGAUGGAGGGGGAUAACUACUGGAAACGGUAGCUAAUACCGCAUAAUGUCGCAAGACCAAAGAGGGGGACCUUCGGGCCUCUUGCCAUCAGAUGUGCCCAGAUGGGAUUAGCUAGUAGGUGGGGUAACGGCUCACCUAGGCGACGAUCCCUAGCUGGUCUGAGAGGAUGACCAGCCACACUGGAACUGAGACACGGUCCAGACUCCUACGGGAGGCAGCAGUGGGGAAUAUUGCACAAUGGGCGCAAGCCUGAUGCAGCCAUGCCGCGUGUAUGAAGAAGGCCUUCGGGUUGUAAAGUACUUUCAGCGGGGAGGAAGGUGUUGAGGUUAAUAACCUCAGCAAUUGACGUUACCCGCAGAAGAAGCACCGGCUAACUCCGUGCCAGCAGCCGCGGUAAUACGGAGGGUGCAAGCGUUAAUCGGAAUUACUGGGCGUAAAGCGCACGCAGGCGGUCUGUCAAGUCGGAUGUGAAAUCCCCGGGCUCAACCUGGGAACUGCAUUCGAAACUGGCAGGCUAGAGUCUUGUAGAGGGGGGUAGAAUUCCAGGUGUAGCGGUGAAAUGCGUAGAGAUCUGGAGGAAUACCGGUGGCGAAGGCGGCCCCCUGGACAAAGACUGACGCUCAGGUGCGAAAGCGUGGGGAGCAAACAGGAUUAGAUACCCUGGUAGUCCACGCCGUAAACGAUGUCGACUUGGAGGUUGUGCCCUUGAGGMGUGGCUUCCGGAGCUAACGCGUUAAGUCGACCGCCUGGGGAGUACGGCCGCAAGGUUAAAACUCAAAUGAAUUGACGGGGGCCCGCACAAGCGGUGGAGCAUGUGGUUUAAUUCGAUGCAACGCGAAGAACCUUACCUACUCUUGACAUCCAGAGAACUUUCCAGAGAUGGAUUGGUGCCUUCGGGAACUCUGAGACAGGUGCUGCAUGGCUGUCGUCAGCUCGUGUUGUGAAAUGUUGGGUUAAGUCCCGCAACGAGCGCAACCCUUAUCCUUUGUUGCCAGCGGUCCGGCCGGGAACUCAAAGGAGACUGCCAGUGAUAAACUGGAGGAAGGUGGGGAUGACGUCAAGUCAUCAUGGCCCUUACGAGUAGGGCUACACACGUGCUACAAUGGCGCAUACAAAGAGAAGCGACCUCGCGAGAGCAAGCGGACCUCAUAAAGUGCGUCGUAGUCCGGAUUGGAGUCUGCAACUCGACUCCAUGAAGUCGGAAUCGCUAGUAAUCGUAGAUCAGAAUGCUACGGUGAAUACGUUCCCGGGCCUUGUACACACCGCCCGUCACACCAUGGGAGUGGGUUGCAAAAGAAGUAGGUAGCUUAACCUUCGGGAGGGCGCUACCACUUUGAUUAAGGG